AUUGAACGCUGGCGGCAUGCCUUACACAUGCAAGUCGAACGGCAGCGCGGACUUCGGUCUGGCGGCGAGUGGCGAACGGGUGAGUAAUGUAUCGGAACGUACCAUUGAGUGGGGGAUAACGUAGCGAAAGUUACGCUAAUACCGCAUAUUCUCUCCGGAGGAAAGCAGGGGACCGCAAGGCCUUGCGCUCUUUGAGCGGCCGAUAUCAGGUUACCUAGGUGGUGGGGUAAAAGCUCACCAAGGCGACGAUCUGUAGCGGGUCUGAGAGGAUGAUCCGCCAGACUGGAACUGAGACACGGUCCAGACUCCUACGGGAGGCCGGAGUGGGGAAUUUUGGACAAUGGGGGCAACCCUGAUCCAGCCAUGCCGCGUGAGUGAAGAAGGCCUUCGGGUUGUAAAGCUCUUUCGGCCGGGAAAAAAUCGCAUGGAUUAAUACUCUGUGUGGAUGAUGGUACCGGAAUAAGAAGCACCGGCUAACUACGUGCCAGCAGCCGCGGUAA
rnacentral:rRNA from 1 species